CGGUUUCUUCGCAGCACCCGCCCCGGCGCGGCGUCCCGAACGUUUCGCGUUACCCCGUCAACGGCACUGCGGCUGGCGAAAAGGUGUGAAAACCGCCCCGGCGAUCACAAGGUAAGCCGGAUUCUUAUAACGGUAUUUGCCGGAUGGUAAAUCGCUCGCGGAAAUUUCGUUACUGUACGGGAACGUAUCGGCAACCGCAGAAAUCUUUGGUUGUCGCGCGGGAAACCGUAGUGUAGGACGUUAGCGUGCUGCUGUCGGCGAAUUUACCCCACGCACAACACACGGUUCGUGGGUACGGUUUGUUUACGAAUAUUAUUGUUGUUAACGGUAUCGCGCGAUUGGUAUUAGGCCGUGUGUUCGGAACGAUGAUAACGUCGACGCGAAACGACAAUACCGAUAGGUAUAUUGUAGAUUCGUUCCCGUCCCCCGUCGCCUGUCGCGAAUUGUGGCCGCCGUUCGAAACGGUUUUCGAACGGCCGUUGCGAUAUUUUUCUCCGCGUGUCCGGACCACGGAUACUUUUAACGAAGAAACGGACAGGCCGCUCCUAUAACAAUUAUUGUUGGGUGAGGCGAUAGGUCCCCGGAGGGUAUGGUAAACCGAGGCGAUUCGUCACUGUGCGUAUAGACAAAACUAUUGACUUUACGAAACUGUGUGUGACUGUACACGCCGCCUUGAAACGCCGAUAAGGGGUAUCAUGUCCACACCUCUAUUAUCUGUUGUUCGGACGGCCGCGCAACCCUUUUUUUUUUUGUUUUUCAUCAAUCCCGACUCUGUCCCUGUUAAAAAAAAGGUUUAUCACAAUAUCACGCGAUAUCGGUAGGUAAGCUUUACACUACGUCUACGCACCUCAAGCGUUCAAUAUUGUUUUCGAAGUCUCCGCGAAAACGGAAUUCGUUAACGAUUGAAUUACCUAACCUUUACCUUUUCCGCUACACGCAUAGCCGACGUUCGCGUCUAGUAUAAAUCGUCAUUCUACCAGCACGGACGGAAAAUUGUCGACCGGAGAGUCCGGCGGAAUCGAUAUUUUAUCCGCAUUUCUAAAUAAUACCGCAGCUCCGUUGUUGUUAUGAUAGCGGUUACGUACAGUGGUGCGUUUCACAGCCCCCGCCGAGGUUUUAGGUUCGGCCGAUUGGCUAGAGAUUAAACUUACGAAUUAUAA